rnacentral:rRNA from 1 species
ACACACCUACGGGGCGCAGCAGUGGGGAAUAUUGCACAAUGGGGGGAACCCUGAUGCAGCGACGCCGCGUGAGGGAAGAAGGUUUUUGGAUUGUAAACCUCUGUCCUUGGUAAAGAAGCAAGACGGUAGCCAAGGAGGAAGCCACGGCUAACUACGUGCCAGCAGCCGCGGUAAUACGUAGGAUGCGAGCGUUAUCCGGAUUUAUUGGGUUUAAAGGGUGCGUAGGCGGACUGGAAAGUCAGCGGUAAAAUCGAGAGGCUCAACCUCUUUCCGCCGUUGAAACUGUCGGUCUUGAGUGGGCGAGA